GUGGGGAAUAUUGGACAAUGGGCGAAAGCCUGAUCCAGCCAUGCCGCGUGUGUGAAGAAGGUCUUCGGAUUGUAAAGCACUUUAAGUUGGGAGGAAGGGCAGUAAGUUUAUACCUUGCUGUUUUGACGUUACCGACAGAAUAAGCACCGGCUAACUUCGUGCCAGCAGCCGCGGUAAUACGAAGGGUGCAAGCGUUAAUCGGAAUUACUGGGCGUAAAGCGCGCGUAGGUGGUUUUGUAAGUUGGAGGUGAAAUCCCCGGGCUCAACCUGGGAACUGGCUCCAAAACUGCAUGACUAGAGUACGGUAGAGGGUAGUGGAAUUUCCUGUGUAGCGGUGAAAUGCGUAGAUAUAGGAAGGAACACCAGUGGCGAAGGCGACUACCUGGACUGAUACUGACACUGAGGUGCGAAAGCGUGGGGAGCAAACAGGAUUAGAUACCCUUGUAGUCC
rnacentral:rRNA from 1 species